rnacentral:rRNA from 1 species
GACGAACGCUGGCGGCGUGCUUAACACAUGCAAGUCGAGCGGUAAGGCCCUUUCGGGGGUACACGAGCGGCGAACGGGUGAGUAACACGUGGGUGACCUGCCCUCAGCUCUGGGAUAAGCCUGGGAAACUGGGUCUAAUACCGGAUAUGACUCCAUGACGCAUGUUGUGGGGUGGAAAGCCUUGUGCGGCUGAGGAUGGGCCCGCGGCCUAUCAGCUUGUUGGUGGGGUGAUGGCCUACCAAGGCGACGACGGGUAGCCGGCCUGAGAGGGCGACCGGCCACACUGGGACUGAGACACGGCCCAGACUCCUACGGGAGGCAGCAGUGGGGAAUCUUGCGCAAUGGGCGAACGCCUGACGCAGCGACGCCGCGUGAGGGAUGACGGCCU